rnacentral:lncRNA from 1 species
CCACCACCACAAGGUGGCAAUCUAAUUCGGGGGAGAGACGUCACCUUAGUAUGAGGUUUUAGACUCGCGUUUUGAACGCCGUCAAGAGGUAGGUUUUCACAUAAGUCAUUUGCCUCACACUUUAUUGCCUUGAAUUUUAUUUUAUCAGUGCCACGUACAAAUGCUGAAAUGUAAUAAAGUAACCCUUUUUCUACAGAUUGGUUAUACUUUUUAGGCAAAACCAAAUAAGCAAUUACCUAGACUUUUGUUGCUGUUUGUAGAGAGGAACUGAUCCGGAGUGGAAAUCCAAUAUCGCGGCGGCUUAAGUUGAAUGUGUGUUUUAUGGUCGAUACUUUAUUUCCAUAGAAAGCUACACAUGCUAGAGAACCUACUCUUUUGCAAACGUCUAACCUCAAACUGCAGUUAGAAGUUUGCGGUAAACGUGGAUCUAAAGAUUUCUAUUGAUCUCGUAUUACUCCCCACAGGUACGCAAUCCCACUAGAAUACGUGGAAUAAAAUUUAUGAAUUUUGUCUGGCGCGGCAGAUGAACGACGUUUGAAUCGCUGCUGUGCCAGAGUUGUGUAGUAUGGCAGAGCUUUGCCUAACUUAAGUCAAAAGUUUGAUUCAGACGCCGUACUUCUGCCGUGCUUUUGUUGAAUAUAUUCCUGACUUUAGUUCGGCACGGCUGAAGCACGUCUGAACUGGGCCUUAGGGGCCUCAGUUACUUUGUCGAAAGUCGGUCAGUCCGUCCGUCCAUCCAUCAGACAGUCAGUCGGUCAGUCAGUCUGUCUGCACUGUCCGUCUGUCGGUGUUAGGGACAUGGUUUGUUGUUACUUGUGAUCGCCCUACCCAAAGGUAUUAAAUAAUUUUUUGGUCAUUUAUAUAAGGUCGGUUGGUCGUUCGUUUGUUACUCUUUGUUUAGCCCUAGUUUUAACUCAGUUGUUCGCAGAUUUGUAUUGCAAAGGAUUUAAUUGGGAGCUCUCACUACUCACUACGUACCUUUCAGGCAAAUAGAGGAAACAUUAAAACCUGCCACCAGAAUCAUUUUCUUAUUAGCGGAUUUGUAGAUUUCCUUCCUUCAGUUAUUUCACGACCUUACUGCUUGGGUUUGAGGCUUAAGGUUCUCUUGUUUGUUGUUGAUUGCAAACUAAAUAUUUCAAGAAACAACGCACCACUUUAGGCUCCAGAAGGCAGCACAGGACAGCUAUAGGAAGAAAGUCAGGCUAUGAAGAGCAGUUAGAACAGGUCUCAACAGAAGGAGCGGCCUUCACUGAUCAGCGUUCUAAACUCUUUGAAGAGUGUCCAUCCUUACGACAAUCCCAUCGAUGAGGGUCCAAGCUUCUGUGAGGAUGAUCAAUACUACGACAGUAUAGACGCCAUAAUCCUUCGUCCUUUACUGGCCAACGUGGAGGGUGCUGUAGCAAAACUACCUGUCA